rnacentral:tRNA from 1 species
UUCCCUGGGGUUCAGUGGUUAGAACUUGGCACUUUGACUACAGUGCCCAGGUUCAAUCCCUGGUAGGGGAA